AUUGAACGCUGGCGGCAUGCUUUACACAUGCAAGUCGAACGGUAACAGGCCGCAAGGUGCUGACGAGUGGCGAACGGGUGAGUAAUGCAUCGGAACGUGCCCAGUCGUGGGGGAUAACGCAGCGAAAGCUGUGCUAAGACCGCAUACGAUCUAUGGAUGAAAGCGGGGGACCGUAAGGCCUCGCGCGAUUGGAGCGGCCGAUGUCAGAUUAGGUAGUUGGUGGGGUAAAGGCCUACCAAGCCAACGAUCUGUAGCUGGUCUGAGAGGACGACCAGCCACACUGGGACUGAGACACGGCCCAGACUCCUACGGGAGGCAGCAGUGGGGAAUUUUGGACAAUGGGCGCAAGCCUGAUCCAGCAAUGCCGCGUGCAGGAAGAAGGCCUUCGGGUUGUAAACUGCUUUUGUACGGAACGAAACGGUCCGGGUUAAUACCCUGGGCUAAUGACGGUACCGUAAGAAUAAGCACCGGCUAACUACGUGCCAGCCGCCGCCGUAA
rnacentral:rRNA from 1 species